CGGACAGAGCCGGCGUAUCUGGCCCGCAUUCAGCUGUGCGCUCGUCAGCUUCGGCUGAUCGCCUCCAGAUUGGGGCGGCCAGCCGUUUGCUGGCGGGCUUGCAGUGCAUUUGCGGGUGGAGUGCGCCGAGACGCUCGGGGCAGCGGCACAAGCUCGGUUCAGAGGCCAACUUGUUUGGAACCCGUGCCGCGGGGAGUGCUGUUUGCUCUGGGUGAGCAGUUGGGGCGGUGGUUUCGGGCCCGGGUGGGUGCCGAGCCGGUGGUCGGUGGCGGUCGCAUGCGACACGUACCGGCGCCCGGUUCGGUCCUGCUCGARCUCUCAACCGUGCGUUCUCGGUGUAAAAGCCGGUCAUCUGUCCGACCCGUCUUGAAACACGGACCAAGGAGUUUAGCGUGUGCGCGAGUCAUUGGGCGUUNAAAACCCAGCGGCGCAAUGAAAGUGAAGGUCUCCCUCGUUGGAGCUGACRUGUGAUCCUGGCCACCGCGGUGUGCCGGGCGCAACAUGGUCCCGUUCUGGCCGCAUGCGGCGGGGCGGAGACAGAGCGUACGCGCUGAG
rnacentral:rRNA from 1 species